CUGUUCCAAGUACUACCUAGUAAGUCUAAGAUAUUUGCAUCAUAAGAUUUCAAUCUUCCCUUAAUUCAUCUUUUAGUAAGGAUUUUCAUAAUCCAAUUGUGUGUCAGAUCUUCGAUCAACCACCAAACUAACGGCAAAAAAGAUGAGGAUGCUUCUCUCGCAAGUGUUUCGAUUAUUAUGCCUCAUCCUCCUCUUAUCUCAAGUCGCUGGCAGUAUGGGCCGAGAGGCAGAUAAGCCAAGGCCACAAUCACCGGUUCUUAUAAGAGGGCAGCCUUCACCACGUCCUUGAAAACCAUAGUGACGCAUGAGCUUUCGACAUAGGGAGGAAAAGGAUCAUUUUGCUGGUUGUAGUGAAUUAAGAUUAAGUUUUAAUUUACAUAAUCACAUUAACAUCCAGAAAAUAUGAAUUAAAAGAAAAGGUGGGGGAGAGCAGGAAUAAUUGUUAUAGGUUUUUUCCUUUUAAAAUAUUUCUUUUCGCUUUUCUAUGAGAGAUUUUUGUAUUGUAACAAAAUAAUCAUAAUUUUUUUCUCUCGUCUAAGAUAAAUGAUACGAGUCUUAGAUAUUGCUUUAAUUUGUAAAGGUAAAAAGUAGAAAUAAAUUUAUUUUGUGGUUAUG